rnacentral:rRNA from 1 species
CAGCCGCCGCGGGAAUACGGAGGAUCCAAGCGUUAUCCGGAAUCAUUGGGUUUAAAGGGUCCGUAGGCGGUCUUGUAAGUCAGUGGUGAAAGCCCAUCGCUCAACGGUGGAACGGCCAUUGAUACUGCAGGACUUGAAUUAUUGGGAAGUAACUAGAAUAUGUAGUGUAGCGGUGAAAUGCUUAGAGAUUACAUGGAAUACCAAUUGCGAAGGCAGGUUACUACCAAUUGAUUGACGCUGAUGGACGAAAGCGUGGGUAGCGAACAGGAUUAGAUACCCGGGUAGUCCCUGUCUCUUAUAC